AAAUGUGAUGACGUUGCCAGCUGUCAGCAAAUUAAAAGCUGCAUUAGCCGAAUCUGUCCAAUGGUAGAAGCCGGUUGACUGCAUGAUCUUUUGAACUGUCUACCCUUUGAACUAAUAAUGGCAACUCACACUUAUGGAAAAGGGACCGCCUUGAAGUGACCACGAGGUCAUUUGAAAAAUUAAUCGCCCGUAUCUAUUGUAAAAGGGUUCGGGAUAGUUGGGAUACUGUUUGACAAAUAGUUCCACCUUUAUAUUUACAUUUGCAAUUAUAUUGUGAAAUUAGAAACAAUCAUGAUAAAGCUGAGCUCCGAAGCUAAGGACAGGUUGAGUGUGGUGAUCAAUGUGAGCAAGACUAUUUUUCAUUGGGGAUUCGUACCCACAGUUCUUUAUCUGGGUUUCAAGAAAGGUGCAGAUGCUGGAAUGCCACCAAUCACACCAUUGAGUCUGUUGUGGCAGUGAUGCUGCUCAGGGCAUUGGGAGAUCAUCUCACAUAACUACCUAUACCACAAGUCAUGAGGAGCACUCAGCGCCCCGGAUACCUGGCCGCAGUACGGGCCUGCAGUCCGCAGCGGGUGGAUGGACCGCUCGCGGCUGAUCCCGUCCACUGGUGAGCGGUCAUCUCCCGACACUCGGCGGCUGCUAGCCUCAGUGGCUGUCGAUUGACCACAGUUACGGCAUUGGCUCGGCGGCGGAGACCCAGAGCGUGAAUUGUGACCUCGCCCAUCGCUAGAGAUUGUGAAUACAUGUCGCGUGACUGAGUGAA